rnacentral:rRNA from 1 species
GAUGAACGCUAGCUACAGGCUUAACACAUGCAAGUCGAGGGGAAACGACAUCGAAAGCUUGCUUUUGAUGGGCGUCGACCGGCGCACGGGUGAGUAACGCGUAUCCAACCUGCCCACCACUUGGUGAUAACCUUGCGAAAGUAAGACUAAUACCCAAUGACGUCUCUAGAAGACAUCGGCAAGAGAUUAAAGAUUUAUCGGUGAUGGAUGGGGAUGCGUCUGAUUAGCUUGUUGGCGGGGUAACGGCCCACCAAGGCGACGAUCAGUAGGGGUUCUGGAAGGAAGGUACCCCACAUUGGAACUGAGACACGGUCCAAACUCCUACGGGAGGCAGCAGUAAGGAGUAUUGGUCAAUGGGCGAGAGCCUGAACCAGCCAAGUAGCGUGCAGGAUGACGGCCCUAUGGGUUGUAAACUGCUUUUAUAAGGGAAUAAAGUGAGUCUCGUGAGACUUUUUGCAUGUACCUUAUGAAUAAGGACCGGCUAAUUCCGUGCCAGCCGCCGCCGUAA